GACGAACGCUGGCGGCGUGCCUAACACAUGCAAGUUGAGCGACGAACCAGGGCUUGCCCUGGGGCAAAGCAGCGAACGGGUGAGUAACACGUGGGUAACCUACCCCGAUAACCGGGACAACCCGAGGAAACACGGGCUAUUACCGGACGUGCUCACUGGACUUCGGUUCAGUGCGUAAAGGAAGUUCAGGCCUCCGAAUAGGAGGGGGCCCGCGGCACUUUAGUUUGUUGGUGAGGUAACGGCUCACCAAGACCGCGAUGGGUAGCUGGUCUGAGAGGACGAUCCGCCACGCUGCGACUGAGACGCGGCCCAGUCUCCUACGGGAGGCAGCAGUGGGGAAUCUUGCGCAAUGCGCGAAAGCGUGACGCAGCAGCGCCGCGUGGGGGAAGAAGGCCUUCGGGUUGUAGCCCCCUUUCAGGAGGGACGAAGGUUCGGCGGUGAAUAGCCGUCCGGGCUGACGGUACCUCCACAAGAAGCCCCGGCUACCUACGU
rnacentral:rRNA from 1 species